rnacentral:lncRNA from 1 species
UUGUAUAAUCGUGCUUUACAUGUUGGGUGUUCAUGUGCAUAUAGCUAGUAGUUGCUUUCUUACUUAUGCAAAUCAUGCUAAGUAGAGAUAUCAUGAUUAUUGGGUACUCGUUUAUUUAUUUACUUACAGUGCAUUUAUCGCUUUUGUUAUAGUUGUACACUGACCCUCUUUUAUAGUUUCGGGCCUAGUGGUGCAUUUCACUGAAG